rnacentral:rRNA from 1 species
GCCAACGUCCAUACCAUGUUGAAUACACCGGUUCUCGUCCGAUCACCGAAGUCAAGCAUCGUGGGGAGCGCGUGAUCUCGUCG